AUCUGUCUAUUAAUCUGUGGCAUAGGCUUGUCCCAGCUACGUUUACGCAUAAUUUUAGCGUUUAAUUCUUAAAAUGGAAUGUGGAUGGAUAGUCCAAUACAUAUCCCAGUGCGCAUUUCUGCUAAAUACAAGCUGCCACUUCAGCCGGCUAUUUUCGGAAAAAUCAAUUUCGAGGGUACAUUAAUUAGAUCAACGGAGAAGCUGGCUUAAUAAAAUAUGAAUUAAAGGUGAUUAAAGGAUUUUUGGACCCAUUUAUGGAUGGAACAAAUGGAAAAUAACAGAACCAAUUGUUAGAUUCCGGUCUCCCUCGAAUCCUGAAGACAAUCCACAAUGUCCUUGCAAACCUCGACCAAUCGUCAUCUCGCCACUGUCUUCCCUCAUCUCUGCAGCUCGUAGGUUUUCGUCUACCAGUAGAAGAGGAGGAAGGGCAAGGUUUGACCUUUUCGAGGGGAUGACGGGAUGGGUAGGACAAGGGUAGUUCGACGGUUGUCUUUUGGGGCAUCGGCCCUUGCCUCGCCGAGGGAGAGUGAGCAGGGGCGGACGAGGAGGACCUACGCGUUAUUGAGCGGCCAUUUCCCACAAAGCGCAGACGAGGGCAACCACCCCGACGAAGCGCGCGGAGUCCUCUCUCUACCCCUACGCCCUCUUUUCACCCCGACCUCUCUACCCUCCGCCCUCGUCCUUUCGUCCCUUUGCGCGCUCUGCUCUCCCUUCGAUCUACUACAGACGAGAGAACCUUUCCGAGACACGGAUAUAAUGCACCACCUGCACCGACGCAUCUUUUAAAAUGGCGGAUCUCUUUCUUAUUGUCAGAGAUAUAACACGUGGAUAAUGUAACAAAGAUUCGCAAGGACUCGAGGAUAAUUUCAAAUGUUCAAAUCUUAUCUGUAUCUUCGUCUUAAUCCGUGUGAUUUUAUAAAACUAUUUCUAAAUUAUUAUUAGUGAGGAGUAUUAUUAUUAGUGAGAAAGAUAAUGGGCUAAACAGGAUCAAUUUUAAUAUAUGCGCAUAUGUAUGUAUGGUAUAUAUGUAUGCUAUAGUCUAAUGAAGUAUGAUUUGGAUUCGUUUAUCGAUUGAAUUCUAGAAUUACAUAUAUACAGCAUCACGAGAUCAUCGAAUAAUAUUUCAGGAUAAACUCUCUUGCAAAAUAGGAACAAUUUUAGAAUUAACAAUGUGUCCUAAAAUAUUUACUAGAGAUAUUUACUCUUUUAAAUAUUAUCACAUCAAAUUUAGGAGUCUCUAAAAUUAAGA